rnacentral:lncRNA from 10 species
CCUGUAGGCAGGUGGAGAGGGGAUGGGGGAGGUCUCAGGUCCUCUUGCUCACCCAUCAGCUGUGUAGUGUCUGAAGUGAUUAAGGAGCUUGGGGAGAGCCCUGAAUGGGAAGAAAUGGGUUCCAUGUGCAGCAAGCCAGGAGAGAUUUAGGCAACGAGAACCUCCAGUUCUGUCUUAGGGUUCCCAGCUUUCUCCUUGUCCUGAGGGAGCCGCUGAGCCUGUGGGAGAUGAGGGGUGCCCAUUCCCCAGUGCUUCUCACCCUCCCCCACCUGCCCUCCUGGGGUACCUUUGUCUGCCACUUGCAUCCUAUUGGAAGCUGUCCCCAAGUGCGUGUUAGGCAGGUGGCAGGUGCUGGAGCAGAGUGCACCACCCUCCGGCGAUCACUGUGAGUUGGGGUAAGAGUGGGGUGUUCCUGCCAGCCCCAGGAGAGGGGAAAGCAAGCCCCCGUCCACCCUUGUGGGUCUCUGCUCCUGGAAAAGGUGCUCUAGCAGGCUCAUCUGUGUGAGUCACUGUCUUCCAUGUGGGAAUGCUGGAAGCCAAGCUUGCACAUUCUAGGCAGCCAUUUGGAAGAUUCUUCUCUGCGCAUGACCAGCUGAAAAGGAAAAACCCCGAAACAUUGGCACUGUGAUUUCUCCAUGUGAACAGUUUAGUUCGCCGAGGUGGACAUGCCUCAUUCAUGCUUAUGGAGUGACCGACCAGCCUUUAGUGACACCCCCUGAAAUGUGAGUCAUCCAUGGGUCACUAGUCAUUGGAGAAGAGCCCCUUAUACAAAACUUGGAGCUCAGACCACAAACAACAACAACAAUCCAAAAAAUAAAAAAAUGAAAAAUUAGGAGCAGAGACUAAAUGGAAAGAUG